AAAAAGGUAAAAGGGUGACUAGGCCAUAACUUUACGUAAUUUACAAAGACAGCAUGUGGCACUCCAUAAGAGGUAGGAGUACCUCACCACCUACUCCACCCAGAUCCUCCUUCUGCAAACAGCUCUAAAGUUAAUGGCUGACCCACUGAAAUGUCCAGUCAAUUCGUAUAUGAUGCUUCUAAAAUGAACCCAAGAGAGAUGAACUAAAAAUACUCAAGAGUUUUUCUCUAUAGAAAAGGGAGACCCAUCAUUGUGCCUGGUGCUGUAAGUAUUUUUAUUAUUAUUCUAAAUGGCAUUCAAGUUUAUCCCAAGUUCAACAUCGGUCUUAUCCUACUUCCUCCCACACAAGAACUCCUACAGGCAAACAGAAACUUUUAAACCAGAGUCUGCAAAAAGCCUUCUGACCCUUUGGGAUUUUUCUUGUCCUGCCUUCAGAGAUGGAUUCGUCCCUUUCUGGGGGAAAAGUAGCAGAUCUAGACCAAGAAGACACAUGCAAUAGCUCCUACCUUAUAGAUCUCCUGGAAACCCCUCACCCACCUCUGCUACUGCAAGCUACUGGACAUUCUGCUACUUUGACUCUUCAUGUGUGGAAAUAUUUUGUUUUUCUUCACACUGGACCUGUUCUAAAAAUGGAUCUUUGGACUUUACAACUUGCCAAGUUUCUGAAAGAAGGAUCAAAGUAAUGAUAAGAACUCCCACAUGAAGAGGACCUUCCUAGAUCUGUAACUGGGAUUAGCCACUUCUUAACUUCAGCAAGAAGUUUCAACUAACUCUCAGGAUAAAGUCAAAACAGGCCUGUGAUUGUCCCUUGAAUACUGAAGGUGUAAACAAAUUUCUGGUUCCCUCAGGUCAGGCAGAGGAGCACUUGUUACUAGAAGGAAGGGUUACUUCUUUGUUAUUCAAACAUACACCCACACACAUCCUCUUCAUCACUAAUGAAAAGUCUCAACAGAUGGAAAGCCUGGGCUCCCAAACCUGCUGGCUGAGACUAUGUACUUCACUCAAGGGCCAGUCAGCUGUUCCAAACUGGGGAAGAAAGGAGCUAGUAUAGGUAAUCACUAUCUCCUCUUACAGAUAGAAAUUUGAAAAAUCUUGUUCAGCAAGGUUAGCAGCCUCUGGGGCCUUGGAAACCAAUUUGGCUGAUGUGUCUCUGAUAGGGACUGGGCUUCAGGCUGCACCAAGGGGAACAUACUUGCUCUAUAUUCUCUCCCCCCACCCUCUCAUUUGAAAGCCUGUACAAAGAAAUGGUACAAUGGAUGGUUAGCUUAAUGAUUCUAUCAGAGGUGGAUUAUUCUCUGUCAGUUCCCUGGUUGAGGCCGAGGUCUGAAAGCCAGAAAGCAUAAUAUGUUCUUAAUCACCCUUUCUUACCUCCUUACCAGUGACUAUUCUCCAGGCCUUUCCUCUGCAACUUCCCCAAACCCCUGACUAGCUCAGUUGGGUCACUCCACUCCAAACUGAAUACUGAUUUUUUUCCAACUGGUUUCGAGAAAAGCUUUCCCUCCACCUAAAUCUAUUCCUCCACUCCCACCUCCCAUUUGUAACAAGCCAUUCCAUCUGCUUCGCUGCCACCCUGCCUUAAUUUACACUUGAUUGCCUGGGCAGAACAACAGGGAUGCUCAAAUGACUGCCACCCUUCAUCCACACCCAUAGGCCUAGGCUUGUAGCCCUGAUGCCUUUCUUCAUAUCUCAAGAGAUCCCACAACCUGCAUGACCAGACCUUCCUCAAUGCGUUCUCUACAGGAAAAAGCAGAGCUGACUAAGAUCUUAGCAAAAGACCCAUUUCCUCCCCUUGGGCAAACGAGUUAGACCUCCCAGAGGCCAAUGCCCUGAGCAAGCCUGGCCCUUCCCGGCCUCCAGGCAUCUGCCAGCGCUGCCUGUCUAUGGCCUCCUUCACUGCAGAACCCGUAGGGAAGCUGCACACAUAAUGGCGCGCCUGCUUGCGGCGGACCCGGCAGCUCAGGGCACCCUCCACACAGCGCCGGUCGGUGACGCCUCCAACAACCUCGACCCUUGGUGCGUUCCCUUUUGCUCCUAGUCCACUCGUCCCGGGAGAGACAGGAGCUGGGGUGGAGAUUUCCUUCCCCUGCCAACUUCCUCCUGCUGGUCCCGCUGAGGGUCCUCGGCGAGAGGAGAGGCCUGGGCCCAGGGCGCCAUCACCGGUCGGGCUCCCCUCCCCCACUAUCCUUUCUUUGCUUCUGAGACCCGGGUGGGAGGAGGCAGGCGCCUCCGCGGAUAGAGCAGCUAUUGUGACCUUCCCUCUCAGAGCGGGAACCCAGCCGAGUGUGCACCGCCGGCGGUGGCGGGGGAGGAGGCGACUGUGUGCAAACCUCGGAUGCAGAAAGGGUGGCACUGGGAAAUAAAUGGAGGUUUGCAACUCGGGCAAUUGGGCCCUUCAGAGGGCGUACGGUUGUGUUUAGAUUUGGGUCCUUCCUAAUACUAAUUGCAGGUUCAAGAGGAGCGGAAUUUAUGGCGAAGGCCAAGGCAGUUUGUUUAUAAUUUAUGAAGUUUUAAAUGGUUGUGCCGCGGGCCCAGCUCUCACCCCGGCGGGCGUCCGCGUGGGAGCGCACCCUCCCAGGACUCAAAGCCUCCCCGAGCCGAUCCGGGAGCGACUGUAUGUUACCCAUCACAUGACUCACGCCAGUGGCAGGAACGGAUAGGAGCAUUUCUUAGAAGUCUCAGGAACCUCCGGAGCUGGGAGAAGGCCGCAGAUUUGGUGCAAGCGAACCCCUGCACCCACACCCCCCCCACACACCACACACUCAAAAGGAGGGCCUGGGAGGCUGUGGCUGCCUGGAGAGGGAGCCCGUACCCCGGCACUUCCCUGGAGCUUGGGUAUGAGAGGAAGCUGUUGUCAGAAGGGCCAGACACCUUUUAAAGUCUAAUCCAUGAAACCCUAAGCCACAGAUGACACUUGGGGCUUUGCAGACACCCGCAGACUCAGCAGAUACUCCUGCGGUAACACACCGCGCUGGAAAACGCCUGGAGCCAUGAUGCAUUAUGUAUUUUUAUUAUUAUUUAUGGUAGGAAGAGGAGAUGAGGGAAAACCGGGCUGAAUCUAAACAGCCUGACAAUUCAUCUAUUUAAUACUUAGCCAGUUAAGAAAGGUGGUUGUAAUCCCUGCAAGGCAGCGAGCUUUUCUUUGAUUUCCCUAAUAGAUUAAAAAAUAAUUUCUUACAAGACAAUUAGAAAUUCUGCCUAUGGAUGCAAAUUUCAUAGAAAACAAUGUUAAAUCUUGAAAACGGGUAAAAUAUGCCUUCGUUUGAAGUCAUUUAUUCUGUUGAUACACUUCUACAACAUAUAUACUUUAAACCUGCUCAGAUAAAGUGAAAUUUAGCAAAAGGAUAUCCCCUCCCACCACAAUCUAACAUGCCAUUUUAAAAACAGCACAAAGGAACAAGAAAACUAAAUAUUAUUUUGAGCCAUCAUUACUUAACGAAACACAAACAUCCAAAUAGAAACGAUUGUUGUUCCACCAGAAGAUUAGAAGUUAAAUUAUUUCCACACGAUAGGAAUUUCACCUCCUGUCAGAGGGAUGUAGUAGGAGUUGCAUUAUUUGUCAAAUCAAACAGAGAUGCGUGGGCUGACUUUGCUGAAAUACAAAAGAAUUAAACCUUAUCUGAAGGUAUUUUCCAAGUGCCCCCUUCAUGGAAUUGGGUGCAAGUUGUUUGUCCCUAGCUAGAGCCACGCUAAUAUUUACAAAAAAAAUGGUUAUAAAUCUUUGAAGACAUUUUGCCCGUUUUGUACAACGAAACAGGAGUAAACAAGGUGUUUAUACGUGUUAUGUUCCAUUAAUGAAACUUUUAUUACUUUACAUUGUGGAGAACAUUUGUUUUCUUUAGAAAUGAACUACCAACUACCACAAAGGAAAAAUGUAUGACAAUGCUUUUUAGAGAAAAAGCUUAGGUGCCUGUCUCCAAAUGAUAAGAUCUUUUCCCCAUUCACCUUAGCUUUUUCAUAGCUCAAUUCUUCUUACAACUUCUCUUGUAUCUUGUCUUUGAUUGUCAGUUUUCUUUCAAAGUUUAUUUUUCAUUAUUUAAUGUAGAAAAAUGAGCUCUGGCCUCUCUAAUGUAACAUUAGAUUGUAUCUAGAAAGAAGGUGGUAGAAACAGCAAAGCAGGCUCUGCUUUGGCAAAGCCUUAUCCCAAUCCUCCCACCCAAAACAUUUCUAGGUUUGCAUCCUUAGAUCCCCCCCACCAUAUCAAUAGCUGGACUGUAAUAAUGGAGUAUCUCCCAGAACAACUGGUGCAGUAGAUUCCAAAUAAAUAGAAUAAUGUUUUUCAAAGGGUCAGUGUUCCAUAAAGCCUUCCACUGGGAUUGUGUGAAAGAUAAAGGCAAAGUGAUCUGCUUGCAAGUGUGCGUGAUUAACACAGAUACACUUCCAACUGAGAAAAUUUUUUAUUCUAAAUAUUUGUUCAAAUAGUACCAGACAAUUUGAAAUCAAUAAACUGUGUCGAGUGGUGAGGGCUGCGGCUGUUGAGAAAUGACUAACGUGUGUCAUGCCAUGCCACCGGGCUGCCUGGCUCUACCCAUGAAGGACAAUUUGUGGUCUUAAUCCUUUACAUCAACUACAAACACCAGCCACGGUUACAACUGUUCAAAACUACUCUCUCAACUAGUUCAGACCCAG